rnacentral:tRNA from 1 species
GGGCAAAUGACUGAGUGGUUUAAGGUAUCGGUCUUGAAAAUCGACGAGAAUAUAUAUCUCCAUGAGUUCGAAUCUCAUUUUGCCCG